rnacentral:rRNA from 1 species
CAUCGCCCUUUGUAAAUUUUUAAAUAAAGGGUACUGCCUGCCCAGUGACAAAAUUUAACGGCCGCGGUAUUUUGACCGUGCAAAGGUAGCAUAAUAAUUUGCUCUUUAAUUGAGGGCUAGUAUGAAAGGCAAGACGAAAGCUUAACUGUCUCCCUCUUUUAAAAAGAAAUUAAUACUUUAGUGAAGAAGCUAAAAUAAAACUGUAAGACGAGAAGACCCUGUCGAGCUUAAGAAAAUUUUUAUAAAAAAAGAAAAAGCUAAUUUUUAUAUAUUAAAAUACUUUUAUAAAAAACAUAAAAAUAUCUUUGGUUGGGGCAACCACGAAGAAAAAAAAACCUUCGAUUUCUAACAAAAAUUAACAAAUUUAAAAGCUAAAAAGCUUUAUAAGAUCCGGUAAAUUCAAACCGAUCAAAGAAAAAAGUUACCGCAGGGAUAACAGCGUUAUUCUCUUUAAGAGCUCGUAUUGACAAGAGAGUUUGCGACCUCGAUGUUGGAUCGGGGCAUCCAAGAGAUGCAGAAGUCUCUAAAGGUAGGUCUGUUCGACCUUUAAAGCCCUACGUGA